rnacentral:piRNA from 1 species
UAAGCCGGACCAGGUGUGAGGAGGGGA